CGUGUGUCGGGCGGCCUGCCGCUUCUGUCUGCUUUAUGAUGACGGACGAUGGAAAACCACGAGCUCCACGGGUUGUGAUCGUCCAGAUCAGAAGAAGCAGACUGACCCGAGCACACAGAGAGAUCUGCUGCGUCUGCUGGCCGAGGUCCACUUCCUCCACGCUGAGGUAACAGUCCUCAAACUCCGCUCCGAGGGGGUGGAGCUAAA